AGUUGAUAUUUUAAGGUUUAGAGUUGAAGGUUUAGGGUUUACGGUUUAGAGUUGAUGUUUCGGGGUUUAGGGUUUAGAGUUGAUGUUUCGGGGUUUAGGGUUCUUAUUUAAAAAAAAUAGGGUUUAGGAUUGAUGGUUUAGGGUUUAGAGUUGAGUUUUAGGGUUUAUGGUUUGAAUUUCGAAAUAAUAUAAUUCGAAAAAAAUUUAAAUAAUUAUUUUUAUUUUUUUAGAUUUUUAUUUAUUUAAAUAUUUAUUUAUUAUAUAUAUAAAGAACAAGGGCAUAAGAGUCUUUUGCCACUUAAUGAAUAUGGUAUUUUUGAAAAUAUCUUUUUAGUGGUGGUAAAAAUGAAAAAUUGUAGCAUGAGAGUGGUAAACAUGUAAUUUUCCCCAAAUUUAUUUAGCAUUAUUAAAUAAGUAUUACAAUAAGUAUAACUCUACGUUUUGGAAUAUGACUUAUCAUUUUUCAUCUAUAAAGAUUCAUUCCUAACUAUAACUAUGUUUUUUCUUAAUGUAAUCAUUUUUUGAAUGUACAUACAUUUUUAUAUGGUUUCAAACAAAUCAUUACCAAAGUAGAUCUCUUAGCUUCAUAAAUUACAUUAUAAAUUUAAUAAAUGAUUAGAC
rnacentral:lncRNA from 1 species